UACGUAGGCAGCAAGCGUUGUUCGGAGUUACUGGGCGUAAAGGGUGUGUAGGCGGUUGUUUAAGUUUGGUGUGAAAGCCCCCGGCUCAACUGGGGAGGGUCACUCGAUACUGAUCGACUCGAAGGCAGGAGAGGGUAGUGGAAUUCCCGGUGUAGUGGUGAAAUGCGUAGAUAUCGGGAGGAACACCAGUGGCGAAGGCGACUACCUGGCCUGUUCUUGACGCUGAGGCGCGAAAGCUAGGGGAGCAAACGGG
rnacentral:rRNA from 1 species